UGUACUUGAUUUAAAUGGUUAUGGCUUCGAAUAUCAUAUCUAGGAGCUAAGGGUGGUCACGGUUGCGAAACUGUUGAUAAUGUCAAAGGGAAAGAAAGAGUCUUCAAUUGAUCAAGACAACGAAGAAUCGAAUUUUGAAUACGUCAUACGCGAAGCUUACGGAGAAAUUUUCCUAAACAUAUCCAGCAUUAGAGAUACUAUGAAAAGAAGAACCAGCAAGGACGAAAGAACUGAUAAUAAGCAAAGUAUUUCUUUGCUACCGGUAGUCGAAAAACAGACUUUAGUCGCGGACGAAGAAGCCUACAAGGGAGUUAUGGGUGCCAGAACAAAGCAGAGAGGAAAAUUGAGUGAACUUGGACAACCAAAGCAGUACAGUAUAGCAGAAAAGACAGGAUCUAUUGAGAGUUCGUCUAUCUUCGGCCAAAAUGCUACAAUUAAAUCAGGGAAAACGAGAGAGGACAAGAAAGAUGUUACGGAAAAGACGGACAAAAAACAUUUAAGACAGCCAUCAUGUUCAAAACUCGAGAGAGAUAUUCGUAAAGCUUUGGCCGAAAUGAGACUGCAUGAUUUCGAUUCAGAAACUGUGGGAACGGCUUCAAAUGAUGGUUCAGAAGGAUUAACUUAUUGUAAAACAGUUCGAACAAAGAACGAUGUGUUGUACGUUGUGAAGGGGAAUGUAUAACGCAUGCGCAGUCAUAACAUGGCCGUCGUGUUUCGAAGUGAGCCCCGAGUCUUCUCUUGAAGCCAACAACUUCUGAAUCUCAUCUCAAGGCCGUAAGCCAAAACGUUUCUUUUAUCAAUGACACAGAGCACAUAAUGAUUUUCAUUAUGGCGAAAAUAAAUUAGGUACUGGAUCUAGA
rnacentral:misc_RNA from 1 species